rnacentral:rRNA from 1 species
GAUGAACGCUAGCGGGAGGCCUAACACAUGCAAGCCGAGCGGUAGAGUCUCUUCGGAGACUUGAGAGCGGCGCACGGGUGCGGAACACGUGUGCAACCUGCCUUUAUCUGGGGGAUAGCCUUUCGAAGGGAAGAUUAAUACCCCAUAAUAUACUGGAUGGCAUCAUCUGGUAUUGAAAACUCCGGUGGAUAGAGAUGGGCACGCGCAAGAUUAGAUAGUUGGUGAGGUAACGGCUCACCAAGUCAGCGAUCUUUAGGGGGCCUGAGAGGGUGAUCCCCCACACUGGGACUGGGACACGGACCAGACUCCUACGGGAGGCAGCAGUGAGGAAUAUUGGACAAUGGGUGAGAGCCUGAUCCAGCCAUCCCGCGUGAAGGACGCCGGCCCUAUGGGUUGUAAACUUCUUUUGUAUAGGGAUAAACCUAGAUACGUGUAUCUAGCUGGAGGUACUAUACGAAUAAGCACCGGCUAACUCCGUG